GGAGAAUGGAAGAAACUGACUGAACAAAGACUCUGAAGCUACUUCAGCAAGCCUGUUCUCUUUGGAAAUCUCCAGAGGAGACAGAGGUGUCAGUGUCUAUGGAAAUGUACAACUCACACGUUUGGGAAUCUGACAUGCCCUUCCAAGAACUCCCUCUUCUACUCCGUUCUACUCCACUAUGAGGUCAGUUCCAGGAAAGCUGCCAGCAAUCAUUUGGUUGGAGAAGAAGAUGCAAUCUCCUAUUCUUGCAGGUCUCUAAAGCCCAGACACUAAAAUUUUCCCUUUGGAGGCUGCUACUUCACUUGGCCUCUAACCAUGAUUGCUGCAUUCUGUAGUAAGCUAAUAAUUUCUUCCAUCAUUCAUGUCUCAGUUCCCUUUCUCAUCCUUUCUUGAAUGUUAUUGAUGGAGUGAGGGAGGAGACAGCAGUAGUUGAUUGAAGUAAGGACAACUGUGCUCUUUCCUAGUAAGGCUCCAGUGGAGGUACCUAGAAUCCAAGUGCUCACAGUCAACUGCUUUCUUUAGAAUGUGGGGUACAUAGAAUGUAUUGCCCUCAAAUGUAGGUCUUUGCUAAUUGCUGGACAGCAGGAAAAUUUCCACACAACCUCCUCUUAGAUUUGUUUUGUUUAUUUGAUUUUGUGACUACCAGAGUUGACAUCAAGAACUGGACAAGAGUUCAAAAUUCUCUUGCUACCUUCAUUGUCUCUUGAAUAUUUUAUGGCUUACCAUUGGACACUUACUGGGUCUUAAUGCUUCAUGUGUUUGUUUUGAUAUGUCUUCUGGCCAUGAGCAUUAAUUGGAUGGUCCUCCAUGAUUUUUUCUUUGCUAAUAGGUCUCUGUUCAUUCUUGGCUUUAUUUCUAAAGAUUCUCUGGUGGUUCUGGGUACCAUUGGUAUGUAUCAAGAUAUUUAUAGCCACUGACUACUUGCUUUAGGGAUGGAUAUUGUUGUCAGUUUCUUUCCCUUUUUUGGUCCAGUUUUAUAAAGUUUGUGAUGCACAAUUGGAAUAAUAGGUAGAGGGAAAGAACUAGUGAAGCAGGAUAAUAGAAAAAUAGAAAGAAAGCUACAGGAAAUUUAUCAGGAAUGGGGCUUUUUGGAGACAUUUUGGACUUCAAAUUGUGAAAGUCCCAAGGACAUCUGUGUGGUACAACAGACUUGGGGAGAAGAAAAGGAGGUUUGGUGAGACAGUGCUGUGGGUUAUGAGUGUAUUCACAAUGAUGGUUUCUAUGUGGUGAAGAUAAACGUAGUGCUUUUACAAUUACUUUUUGAUGCUGAUCUUCAAUUCUUGAAACUUAAGUUUGUCCUAGGCUACGCUAUGUGACUUUCUGAUUUUAUUCUGGUUCUACAAAGAAAACAUAGCCUGAUAAUUUCAAAAUAUCCAAUAUUUCCUUAAAUUAAAAUAGGAGAGACCUGGAAUCAAUGACCUUGUGUUUAGUAGAGCAACUGAAUGAGGUUUUAAAUCUGCAGAUAUAGAUUAUGAUAGGCUUUCCCCACCCCAUGCCCUCCCCCACAAGAGGGCAGUGAGCAAAAGAUAAAUUAUUUUGCAUAAGAAAGUAAAAGAAAUAGGGAGGCAGAAGCAAAUAGUAAGAAAAGGGGGCAAGGGUUUAGAGAGCCAAAGAGAAGAGGACAAUGAGCAAGGAAGGAAGGCAGACAAAACAGAAAGAAAUGUCUCUACCCUUAGAGUAUAACUGAUGAAAUUUUAGCACAAUGUUGUAUAAUAUUAUAUUUUAAGAUAGUAUCUUACUUGCUGUACUCUAAUUCUCUUUGUUAUUCCAAAUCCUUGGAAAAUUUGUUUACUGAUAACAGUACUUUGUAAAUAGUACUUUGGAGGAAUUAAGGUACAGAGGCACAUGGGGAAUGCUGCAAAGGAAGGAGACGGAAGACGCAGAAGACAGGGAGCAGAGAGAACACUGAUAAGUCAGUGAAA
rnacentral:lncRNA from 1 species